rnacentral:rRNA from 1 species
CCCUUCGAUGUCCUGGGCUGCACGCGCGCUACACUGAUACAUGCAUCAAGCAGUUCACUGAAGAAAGCGAUUUGUUUCGCUUUGACACCUUGGCUGAUAGGCUUGGGGAAACUUUGAACUUGUAUCGUGAUGGGGAUAGAUGAUUGCAAUUAUUCAUCUUCAACGAGGAAUUCCUAGUAAACGCGGCUCAUCAAGCCGCAUUGAAUACGUCCCUGCCCUUUGUACACACCGCCCGUCGCUGCUACCGAUUGAAUGGUUCAGCAAGUUCUACAGACCGGUGCUUUCCCGUGGUUGGGGGGUUUUUUUUAAAAAUCUUUUCUCCUCCAUGUUUUGUUGUUAGUUGCUGGGAAGUGGCGCAAACUUGACCAUUUAGAGGAAGCAAAAGUCGUAACA